rnacentral:rRNA from 1 species
GAAGAAUCAUUACCGAGUAGGGGCCUCUGGGUCCAACCUCCCACCCGUGUUUAUUGUACCUUGUUGCUUCGGCGGGCCCGCCUCACGGCCGCCGGGGGGCACCCGCCCCCGGGCCCGCGCCCGCCGAAGACACCAUUGAACUCUGUCUGAAGAUUGCAGUCUGAGCAGAUUAGCUAAAUCAGUUAAAACUUUCAACAACGGAUCUCUUGGUUCCGGCAUCGAUGAAGACGCAGCGAAAUGCGAUAAGUAAUGUGAAUUGCAGAAUUCAGUGAAUCAUCGAGUCUUUGAACGCACAUUGCGCCCCCUGGUAUUCCGGGGGGCAUGCCUGUCCGAGCGUCAUUGCUGCCCUCAAGCACGGCUUGUGUGUUGGCUUCGCCCCCCGGCUCCCGGGGGGCGGGCCCGAAAGGCAGCGGCGGCACCGCGUCCGGUCCUCGAGCGUAUGGGGCUUCGUCACCCGCUCUGUAGGCCCGGCCGGCGCGCCGGCGACCCCAAUCAAUCUUUCCAGGUUGACCUCGGAUCAGGUAGGGAUACCCGCUGAACUUAA